UUGAUAGUACUAGAUAUAGGUGGAAGACAACUUAUAUAUGUGUGAUUCAUUGAUAGAUAUAUGUAAUUUCUUUGAUGGAAAGUUUGAGUUGAUUUCAAUUGUUCAAUUAAUGUGUAUUUUAAUGUUGUUGGACUUCAAAAUAGGUGCAUGAUAAAUUAUAUGGAUAUUUUAAAAUAUAUAAUUUUUCAUUUGAAAAAAAAUGCAAAGCGUGUCAAGAGUACACAAACCCCGUUAUUCUUGACACCAAAUUACUUGACGCAUAAAAAAUGUUAAAAAAUCUUAUAUACUUACACUUUUUACCUGUUAAGUAUAAUUAUACUUGACACUUAAAAACUGCAAAGUAAACCUGAAAACCCCUGUGCUAUUAUAUCUAGAAGUAUGCAUGAUCCUAAAAACUCCUAAGUUGUUAUUGAAACACCUGUUUCUGAAACUGUUAAUACUUCGAACGUAGAAUGUGAAUUAGAACUUAAGAGAAGUAAAGGAAAGAGAACAGAGAAAAGUUUUGGUCCAGAUUUCUUAAGCACCUUUAUAGUAGAAAGACGUGAUGAAAUUGAUUGUAACUUCACGAAUUUGUUUUUAAUUGGGGAACCUACAACUUAUCAAGAGGCCCUAAACUCUGUAGAGUCAAGUAUGUGAAAAAAGGUUAUUAAGAGUGAACUAGAUUCACUGACCAUGAAUCAAACAUGGGACUUAGUAGACCUUUUCAUGGGAUAAGCCAAUUAAGUGUAAGUGGAUAUUCAAAAGAAAAACAAAAUCAAAUGGAUCAAUAGAAAGAUACAAGGCUAGAUUAGUGGUGGUAGGGUAUACUCAAAAGCAAUGUAUUGACUACUUUGACACAUAUUCCCCUGUAAUUAAGAUAAUCACAAUUAGGACCUUGAUUGCACUAGCUGCCAUACAUAGCCUUCUUAUUUAACAGAUGGACCUUAAAACUGCCUUUUUAAAUGGUUAUUUAGAAGAAGAAAUUUAUAUGACACAACCAGAAGGGUUCAAAAUUCCUGACCAAGAAAAUAAAGUGUGUAAACUUAAAAACUCUCUCUAUAGUCUUAAGUAAGCUCCUAAACAGUGGUAUAAAAAAAUUAAUAAUACUUUGAUAAACAAUGGAUUUAAAGUAAAUUUCUCAGAUACAUGUGUUAUUCAAAGUUGUUUGGAGCUGAUUGCAUAUUAAUAUGUUUAUAUGUUGAUGACAUGUUAAUCUUUGGAACAAAUAUGGAGUUGAUAAAUAUACCAAGUUGUUCCUUUCAUCACACUUUAAAUGAAAGACCUAAGAGAAACAAACAUAAUUCUUGGUGUUAAAAUAAGAAAAAAUAAAAAUGGUUUGUCCUCGUGUCAAUCGCACUACGUAGAGAAAAUACUAAAGAAAUUUGAUUCCUUUGAUGUUUUUUCAGUAAGAACUCCAUAUGAUGCUAGUAAACAUCUUAAGAAGAAUAAAGAAGAUAGUAUGUCUCAACCUGAAUAUGCAAAGAUCAUAAGUAGUGUUAUGUAUUUAAUGAACUACACUAAACCUGAUAUUGCAUAUGCUGUCGGUAGAUUGAGUAGGUAUACACACAAUCCUGAUUGAAACCAUUGAGAUGCUUUACGCCAUCUAUUGAGAUAUCUUAAAGGGAUGAUAAAUUACUGUUUGAACUUUAACAAAUUUCCUGCCGUAUUAGAAGGAUAUUGUGAUGUAAAUUAGGUUACAGACAAUGAUAAAGUUAACUCUACUAGUGGGUAUAUAUUUUUGCUCGGGGGUGGAGCAAUUCUUGGAAGUAUGCAAAACAAACUUGUAUAGCUAGAUCCACUAUAGAAUCUGAGUUUAUAGCAUUAGAGUUGGCGGGAUAAGAGGCUGAGUGGAUCAAAAGCCUACUAGGAGAUGUACCAUUGUGGGGGGAAUCUGUACCUAUGUCUACACACUAUGAUUCAUAGGUUGCCAUCGAUAUUAUUAAGAACAAUGUCUAUAAUGGCAAAAGAAGACAUAUACGUCUUAGGAAUGCAGCUAUGAAACAACUGCAAAAGGAAGUAACUAUUUCCUUAGAGUUUGUUCGAUUUAAGAAGAACCUGGCUGAUCCUUUAACCAAAGGACUAACAAGGAAAGUGGUUCCAAAUUCCUUAGUGAACAUUGGCCUUAAGCCCUUUGAAGAUCUAUAACACUUGGUAUUAGGUGGUCUAUUGUGAUAGACUUGAUGGUCCAUAGCCCCUUAUUGGGUGGUGUUGCGAUAGACUUGAUGGUCUAUAGCCCGUUGUAUGGAAAAUCCUUAAAUGGACUUAAUGGAUGAUACAAAAACCUUUGAGUGGUCCAAAGUUGGUAUUGAUAAUAAUGAAGUCUCCAUAGCUCUUUUAGAGUGGUUUAGUUUGGCAAACUUGAUGGAGCAUGUAACGUGAUAGUGAAGGUGGAAAGAGUUUAAAUGUCCCUUUCUAGAGCUCUCACGAUGACCCGAGGUUCAUUCUAUGUCAUGAACCUAAAGGCACAAAUCUAUAUUGCAAAAACAAAAUCUAACUAGGGAUAAAACGUGUCGUAAGGGUCUCAACCAGUGUUAUAGGAAGUUCAAGUAUACAAUUCACUCUCUCUAACAAGGUUGUUGCCUUACUUCACCACGCAUCAAUUCAAAUUUUUGGAUAUUGAUGUCUAAGCUUAAUGUCCCAUCGAUGCUUAGAACAAAUUUAGUGAAAUCUCAUUCUCUUUCACUUACCUAGUAACUUUACUGGUACAGUCAUUUAUGGGGGAUUGUUAGAAAUGACAUGUGGGCUUUGGCCCAACUAGCAAAGUUAAGAUAAAUUGUCCCACUUUGCUAAUUUUUGAAGUGGUAAAUGGGUAUAUACACCUAAGCAAUCAAAGGGAUUUCAAACUAUCCUGGUGGUGAUAGUAUAACCUUGUCACCACACGCGCUAUCAUCGCCAUCCGUCCGAUCGGACGGGCGGGCUCGGGUAACCGCACUUGCUCGAAAAAGGAUGUAAUUUUUAUUGCCUAUACUUUUGGUAAAUUUACCUUUUUAUCCCUUUCAUUCAAUGCCAAGUGUGGACACGUGUAGCACUCUUACAUAGUCGUUACCACUUGGUUCUAUCGUUCAACGUACGUGCGUUGUCUCGAUCUUAUAGUUGCGAUGAUCACUCCCAGCCAUGUUGUUUCGACGAUCAUUCUCGGCCUUGCUUUUCCAACGAUCGCUCUCAGCCACAUCCUGCCAUCCUCAGUUCUCUAUAAAUUCGAGGCAAUUCCUUUUGUUUCAACGUAUAGAAAUCAUUCAUUUCAACUCUCUUUUCUCUUCUCCUUUCUCCACUCUAUAUUCCCUAAAAGUUUUGAGCAUUUCAUAUGGUUUUGCUUCCAUUCCAUGUUUCGACGAGUGCACAUUUGAACUGGAAAGCUGUGUUAACCUUGGGGAGCAACCGACAUCACUAUUAGCACCACGGUCGGUGAAAUUGCUUUCAGGUCUUGAGGUUUUUUUCGAUCCUUGUGGGGCUUUAUCAAGGAUUGCUACAGUUGCAACUAGUAGGCAUACAUGCAUUGCAGUAUUGUGGUACUGAUUACUACCAUGCUAAAGCUUUGAUGGAGGAGAUGAAAAGUGUUAAGACUUACGCCCAAUCACAUUAGUUGGUCCAUUUUGCUUGAUGUAUGUGGAGGAUCUCAUGACGUGGAAAACGCUGUACAUAUCUUGACAAUAUGCGAAUGGCUAGAGUCAAUCCUGAUGAGCCCACUGUGACAAUUGGCUUGUGGUUUUAACUAAGGUUGACAAAAGAACAAUUGUAUGAAGUCCAAGAAUGUCAUCAUCAAGACACAACAAAUAACAUUUUGUUACGAUUUAUCUAUUCUAAUAGAACAAUUGUACAAAGCCCAAUGUUAUUAAAAACGCUAUUGAAACAUUUUGAUAGCGCUUUUCUAACGCAAUAAAAAACGCUAUCCAAUUUUCAGAAACAAUUUUU